rnacentral:rRNA from 1 species
AUUGAACGCUGGCGGAAUGCUUUAUACAUGCAAGUCGAGCGGCAGCGCGGGGGCAACCCUGGCGGCGAGCGGCGAACGGGUGAGUAACAUAUCGGAACGUACCCAGUCGUGGGGGAUAACUAUCCGAAAGGAUAGCUAAUACCGCAUACGUCCUGAGGGAGAAAGCGGGGGAUCGCAAGACCUCGCGCGAUUGGAGCGGCCGAUAUCGGAUUAGCUAGUUGGUGGGGUAAAGGCUCACCAAGGCGACGAUCCGUAGCGGGUCUGAGAGGACGACCAGCCACACUGGGACUGAGACACGGCCCAGACUCCUACGGGAGGCAGCAGUGGGGAAUUUUGGACAAUGGGCGAAAGCCUGAUCCAGCCAUGCCGCGUGCGGGAAGAAGGCCUUCGGGUUGUAAACCGCUUUUGUCAGGGAAGAAACGUCUUGGGAUAAUACCCCGAGAUAAUGACGGUACCUGAAGAAUAAGCACCGGCUAACUACGUG